AGAACGAACGCUGGCGGCAUGCCUAACACAUGCAAGUCGAACGAGACCUUCGGGUCUAGUGGCGCACGGGUGCGUAACGCGUGGGAAUCUGCCCUUCGGUUGGGAAUAACACAGAGAAAUUUGUGCUAAUACCUUAUAAUGUCUUCGGACCAAAGAUUUAUCGCCGGGGGAUGAGCCCGCGUAGGAUUAGCUAGUUGGUGGGGUAAUGGCCUACCAAGGCGACGAUCCUUAGCUGGUCUGAGAGGAUGAUCAGCCACACUGGGACUGAGACACGGCCCAGACUCCUACGGGAGGCAGCAGGUGGGGAAUAGUUGGACAAGUGGGACGAAAGCCUAGAUCCAGCAAUGCCGCGUGAGUGAGUAGAACGGCCGUUAAGGUUAGUAAAGUCUUCUUUAACCGAGGGAUGAAUAA
rnacentral:rRNA from 1 species